rnacentral:tRNA from 1 species
UCCUGUGUGGCUCAGUUGGUAGAGCAUUGGUCUUGCAACGCCAGGGUUAUGGGUUUGAUUCCCACAGAAGAC